AACGUAGGGGGCGAGCGUUAUCCGGAUUUAUUGGGCGUAAAGCGCGCGUAGGCGGCAUGUCAAGUUGGACGUGAAAGCUCGUGGCUCAACUGGGAGAGGACGUACAAAACUGACAAGCUUGAGGGUGGAAGAGGAGAGUGGAAUUCCCGGUGUAGAGGUGGAAUGCGUAGAUAUCGGGAGGAACACCAGUGGCGAAGGCGGCGCCCUGGUCUGGUACUGACGCUGAGGCGCGAAAGCGUGGGGAGCAAACAGG
rnacentral:rRNA from 1 species